GGUUUUGGGAAACCCUGCUUCAGCUGUGGGGCCACAGAAGGCAGGACUCAGGGAUGGUCUCCACCAUGGCCUGGUCCCCUCUCCUGCUCACCCUCCUGGCUCACUGCACAGGGUCCUGGGCCCAGUCUGUGGUGACUCAGCCACUCUCAGUGUCGGGGAACACAGGACAGAGGGUCACCAUCUCCUGCACUGGAAGCAGCUCCAACAUUGGGGGUAAUAAUGUGCACUGGUACCAACAGCUCCCAGGAAAGGCCCCCAAAACCCUCAUCUAUGCUAAUAGCAAUCGACCCUCAGGGGUUCCUGACCGAUUCUCUGGCUCCAAGUCUGGCAGCUCAGCCACCCUGACCAUCACUGGGCUCCAGGCUGAGGAUGAGGCUGAUUAUUACUGCCAGACCUAUGAUGACAAUCUCAGCGGUCGCACAGUGCUGCAGGCCUGUGGGGAAGUGAGACAAGAACCCCUGUGUCAUCUGGGAGCUGGGUGAACACUGCAGCUGCUGCUGCUUAGGCUCAGCCUGUGCCCUGUGACUUCUGCUCAUUCUCUGGUUGAUGUUUUUGGCCCAGGUUCCCCCAAGGACACUGUCUGUGAUUGCAGGAUGCUUCUCUCCCUUCUGUCCUCACAGUCACUCACAACAGCACUCUCCCAGACUGAGUGUCCUAAAUGAAACUGAAAGUCCAUUUUCCCACACGAUGGAGACAGUUUACUUCAAGGCUGAUUUGCAUUCAGUUUUUCUUGUGAUGUUCAAAUAAAUAAAACAUUUUGUUGGGUCCUUAAACCUACCACGGGGCCUGAGCACUGUGUGUGCUCUGCAUGAAGGAUGAGUCAGCUGUUUGCAUCUCACUUUAUAAUGUCCUUCAGUGUAAUCACUGCUGAGUGCUUUGUUGUGUCUUCUGAUUUUCAAUAAAUUUUCUGUAAAAUAUGCCCAUGUAAAAGCAUAAAAUAAGAACAGAUUGGUAGUUUCCAGAGGUCUGGGAUGAAGGAGGUGGCCUUGUGGGUAAAGGCAGUGAGAGAGAACCAACUCCCAGGUGUGAAAUGAAUGGUCCGGGGGACGUCGUGGACAGCACGGGGACUGGGGCAGAGAUGCUGUGGCCGUGCGUGUGUGAACGCAGCUGAAGGAGUGGAUCCCCAACAUUCAUAGCACAAGAAAAAAUAAACAUUGUUACCAUGUGUAGUGAUGGAAGUUAAGCAGACUCAUUUUGCUGAUGAAUUUGCAAUAUUUAUCAACAUAGAAUGAUGUGCAUUUGAAACUAAUAUAAUAUUGUAUAUCAAUUAUAUCGCAAGUAAAAAGUUACA